GCUCAAUGAUUUUUUAAAUUGCUGUGGUAUUUUGACUAUACGAAGGUAUUGAAAUAAGGCUUUAAUGAGUGCUAAGAGAAUGGUAUAACAAUUAUAAGCUUUCUUUGGUUAAAAAAUUAAAUUUAAUUUUUUUUGUGAAGAAGCAAAAAUAUAAAUUAGGGACAAGAAGACCCUAUGAAUUUUGAAUUAAAUAUAAUAACUUAAUUAAAUUAUUAUAUUUAAAUUAAUUGGGGUGAUUUGGAAAGAGUAUAUAUCUUUUUAGUUAGUUAAAUUGUUCCGUUUUUAACGAUUUUAUGAAUAAAAUACUCUAGGGAUAACAGCGUAAUAAUUUUGGAUAGUUCAUAUAGAUAAAAUAGUUUGCGACCUCGAUGUUGGAUUAGGAUUCUUUUUUAAUGAAGAAAUUAAAGAAAAGAAGUUUGUUCAACUUUUAAAUUCCUACUUGAUCUGAGUUCAGACCG
rnacentral:rRNA from 1 species